CAAAUGCUUGCAGUGUUGUUUAGAGGAAGAAAGGUGACAAGUUAGCAGAGAAGAAGAAUGGCUUCCAAACCAGGGAUCCUUACUGAAUGGCCAUGGACAUGUCUUGGGAACUUCAAGGUAUCCCCCCCCCCAACCCUCUCUCUGUAUAUAUGUGUAUGUAUAUGUAUAAACAUACUCACAUUUGAGCUGCUGUAAUAAUAUGUUUCCAUUUUCAACGUGGAUAAAGUAUCUGAUAUUGGCUCCGUGGGUGAUUCAAGCAACGUACUCGUUCAUGAUGGAGGAUGAAGCUGAAAGGGAUUUUUCUCACUUUUUUAUAUUCCCAUUUUUGCUAACAAGAAUGCUUCAUAGCCAAUUCUGGAUUUCUCUCUCUCGUUAUCGAACUGCAAAAGGUAGCAACAGGAUAGUCGAUAAGAGCAUCGAAUUUGAGCAAGUUGAUAGAGAAAGAAACUGGUACACAUACAUAUAAACCCCCUUCCAACUUCUCUAUUAUCUUGUACUAUAUACUUACUUCCUCGACUGCAUUUGUGCGAGAAGCAUAAAAUAAAACUUGCAGUGAAAAAGUGAUUGAAGGCGAACUAAUGUAAAUCUAUCUGCCUAAAUUUCUUAAUUUACUCAUUAUUUUACUUUUUGUAUUGUUUGAUAUCAGAUCUACCUUACUAAUAAGACAAAUAUAAAACCCAUUUUACAGGGAUGAUCAAAUAAUAUUUAAUGGCAUAUUACUCUAUUUGCUGUUCAUGUAUAUCAAGGAGGUUCAUCAUCUGCCUGUAUGGAGGACAAAUGGAGUGAUAUUGACAAUUUUACUUCAUACUGGUCCAGUCGAGUUCAUCUAUUACUGGCUACACAGGGCACUGCACCACCACUUCCUCUACUCCCGCUACCAUUCCCACCACCACUCCUCCAUUGUUACUGAACCCAUUACAUGUAAGAAAAAGAAGCCCUUUUAAAUAGAUAAUAGAAAAGAAUAAUGUUAUUUGUACGUAAUGAAGUUACGUAAUGGUUUAUGUACAUAUUAGGUUUCAAAAAAAGAGUGUUGAUUUUUUUUUUUUUUUUUUUGGUUGAAGAAUUUCUGUCCAUUCACGUUUCACCAUAUAUAUGUAAACCAUUAUGUACACGUAGUACAACUGAAUAGAAAAUUGGACUGUAUGGAGAGUGAAAUUCGGAUUACCUAGAUGCCAAUGAGUAGGAUUUCAAUAAGAAUUUCAUAGAUGCAGAAUAUAUAUGUCCACAUUUAUUCUAACCACAGCCUUAUUUUUGUUUUAUCAGCUGUAAUUCAUCCAUUUGCAGAGCAUAUUGCAUAUUUUCUGCUCUUCGGUAUACCAAUUCUUACGACUAUGCUGACUGGGACUGCUUCCAUCGCUUCAUUUUCUGGUUAUAUUACAUAUAUUGACUUCAUGAACUACAUGGGUCACUGCAACUUUGAGCUCAUUCCCAAAUGGUUUUUCUCCAUGUUUCCCCCUCUCAAGUUCAUAAUGUACACGCCUUCGUAAGUAAUUUUAUUCCUAAUCAAAGGCAUGGCUCGUGCACAAUGUUAAAAGAUCAUCUGCUACACAAUCACGUUAAAACCACCUAUUUAAUGACGUGCACGUAGUCUGUCCCUUCCUCCUGAUUGAUGUUGAUUCUCUUAUAGAAGACUUGAGAAUCCAGCUGAUAAUUUAUUUGCUAAUGCAGGUUUCACUCUCUUCAUCAUACUCAAUUCAGAACCAAUUACUCGCUUUUCAUGCCAUUCUACGAUUAUGUCUAUGGAACAGUAGACGAAUCCUCCAACUUUUUAUAUCACACUUCACUCGGGAGAAAGGAAGAAGCACCUCAUGUUGUGCAUCUAACUCAUUUGACAACCCCAAAUUCCAUCUAUCAUCAACGUCUAGGUUUUGCAUCACUAGCCUCAAGGCCUCAUAAUUCUACUUGGUACUUGUGGUUAAUUUGGCCCAUCACACUUUGUUCUGCAACUGUAACAUGGAUAUAUGGACGCACGUUCAUUGUGGAGAGAAAUAUUUUCAAGCAUCUAAAAUUGCAAACCUGGGCUAUUCCUAAAUACAGCAUCCAGGUAAGAAAAUUACAUUUUAAGUCAUUUAAGAAUAAGGAGUACGAGUUUCACACAUAAGUUGUGCUUUUCAAGAUAAUGAUUUCUUCUUUUCGCAGUACUACAUGAAAUGGCAAAGAGAAUCUAUCAAUAAUGCGAUUGAAGAAGCUAUACUGGAAGCUGAGGAUAAAGGAAUUAAGAUUUUGAGCCUUGGUUUAUUGAAUCAGGCAAGUCUUACCGCAUGUUUGGCCAAGCUAAAUUAAGGGGCUGUUUGGAAGACAUUUUUAUGUAAAAAUAUAUUUUUGAAUAGAAAUGUGUGGUUGAAAAAUAAAGAAAAGUUUUUGAUUUACAUGUAAUAUUAUUUUAAUAAAGAAUAUGUGGUUGAAAAGAAAAGAGAGAAAAAUGUAUUUUGAAAAAAAUGGGUAUCAAACGGGGAAUAACUUAUUUUGAUUGUCAAAUGCUUACUUUCAAAACAGCUAAAUUAAGUAAAUAACUUAUUUUGACUGUCAAAUGCUACUUUCAAAACAUGCAGCUCUUAGCAAAACAUGCUCUUAAUUUAGAGAUAAGAACUUCUUUUAGUCCUGGACACAAAAUGGAUGUAGGAUUCUUAAAAUUUCUGAAAUGUAUUCACUACUUAUGCAGCAGGAGGAGUUGAACAGGAAUGGUGAGAUGUAUAUAAGAAGGCAUCCUCAGCUAAAACUGAAGCUGGUUGAUGGAAGUAGUUUAGUUGUUGCUGUUGUGAUUAACAGCAUUCCGAAAGGAGCAACUCGGGUGAUCCUUCGAGGUGAAUUAUCAAAAGUUGCUUACUCCCUUGCCUUUGCCUUGUGUAAAGGGGGGAUCCAGGUGAGUUCAACAUUAGUAAUGUCAUAGCAGACUAGUUUAUGAAACCUUGGAAAAUAAGGAGGAUUAUUUAGUAAUAAUAUUCCCCAACUGUUUAGGGCAUGUUUGGUAAGUUGGUACUGAAUAAGAUUUUAGAUUUUUUGGUCCAUUUAAUACAUUUUGGAUGGUAUAACAUUUUACUUUGUUGGUUUGGCCAAUUCUGUCUUCUGGUCAUAGGUAAGCGCAGUACGUCAAGAGGAGCAUAAAAAGCUUAAAGAAGGGCUUGGAAAUACUGAGGCAGCUAAUAAUUUAGUUCAAUAUUCCGAAAGCUUUGUUACAAAGGUAAACUUUAUUCUCCCUAUUGUUUAAUGCAGUUUUCCAUCCUCUUUAGUUAAAGAAGAAGAUGAAGUUUACAUUUCUCUACUUAAUUACAAUCAACAUAUAUUCCGAAUAGUACACUAAUCGGCAAUCUCAGUAUGUUCAACUCGACCACACUCAAUACAAUAUAGUGUUGAAUACCAAUCGUGUCAUAACUCCAUAUACUUUCUAAAGGUGCAGCAAAUCUCCAUCUUCUUCAGUUGUUUUUCUUAACCCCAACAGAAAACUUUAAACCAUUACUUUUAUAAUAUAAGUAUUUUCUUUCCUCAUGUGAUAUUAAUGAAAUGAACAAAUGUUAAUCUUUUAGGCAUGGUUAGUGGGAGAUGGACUAAGUGAAGAUGAACAAUCAAAGGCAUUGGAAGGAACAAUAUUCAUCCCAUUCUCACAAUUUCCUCCGAAGAAAAUGCGCAAAGACUGCUUCUACAACAACACUCCAUCGA
rnacentral:lncRNA from 1 species